GACGAACGCUGGCGGCGUGCUUAACACAUGCAAGUCGAACGGAAAGGCCCUGCUCUUGUGGGGUGCUCGAGUGGCGAACGGGUGAGUAACACGUGAGUAACCUGCCCUUGACUUUGGGAUAACUUCAGGAAACUGGGGCUAAUACCGGAUAGGAGCUCCUGCUGCAUGGUGGGGGUUGGAAAGUUUCGGCGGUUGGGGAUGGACUCGCGGCUUAUCAGCUUGUUGGUGGGGUAGUGGCUUACCAAGGCUUUGACGGGUAGCCGGCCUGAGAGGGUGACCGGCCACAUUGGGACUGCGAGACGGCCCAGACUCCUACGGGAGGCAGCAGUCGGGAAUAUUGCACAAUGGGCGGAAGCCUGAUGCAGCAACGCCGCGUGCGUGAUGACGGCCUUCGGGUUGUAAACCGCUUUCGCCUGUGACGAAGCGUGAGUGACGGUAAUGGGUAAAGAAGCACCGGCUAACUACGUG
rnacentral:rRNA from 1 species